UUGAUCUUUGGCAAUACAUAUACUAAAAUUGGAAUGAAACAGAGAAGAUUAGCAUGGCCCCUGCGCAAGAAUGACACGCAAAUUCAUGAAGCGUUCCAUAUUUUC
rnacentral:snRNA from 1 species